AUGGAUGUGAAUAUUGUCACUCCGUUUCUCUCCAGAGCCAUACUGAAGAAGUUUUAUUCAGGAGACAGACUGAGAAGAGAGCCAGAUUACCUCCUGGGACUUUUCAAAAAUGCCUCAUCCCAAGGAACGCCCCAAGGGUCUAGAACUGCCCAUCCCAGGUCAACUGGGAAGAAGGAAAGACAAGAAAAGAACGUACAACCUGCAAAUAAUAGAUAUGGGAAGACCUUUGAAGAAUGAAAAAUUGGAAUCAAUUGUGGAUAAACUCCCGGAGCGGCACCAGCAAACUUAAGCUUGGACAAUAUUGUCUUCGUUGUGGCAGAUUGUAAUGAUUCAUCACUUUCUCCUCCCAUUAUUGUUAGAAAUACUGCAGUCCCGAGUUUCUAAAUUAAUAAGAGCCCAUAUUGACAGCACAGUAUUCCUUUAAUAACGUAUUGCAGACAUAGUCUCACUUUAUGAACAUAUAUUGAUUACAUUCCUAAACGGAUGACAGUACUGCAUUUCUACCCAUAGAGUCAGAAUUAUCUAUGUCUCUGUAAAUCGGGAGUAUCACAAGGAUUUCUUUGGUUAAUUCAGAGGGAGAAAGUAAAAAGGGCCAGGGGACAGGAGAUAAGAGGUAUGAUAGGCAAAAGAAAGACACCCUUACACUUGGAGAAAAGAAGUCUGUUGUUUAGCUCUGUCUCCUUAAAGUCAUAACACCGUCAAAACUCUGAAAAUCGUAGUCUGGAUUGCGUUGGGCAUCACAUGGACAAACCAAUUAGACGUUCAUUAAAAUCUUCCUUUUCUGGGCAUUCCCAUCAUGGCUCAGCAGUUAACAAACUUGACUAGUAUUCAUAAGGACAUGGGUUUGAUCCCUGGCCUCACUCAGUGGGUUAAGGAUCUAGCGUUGCUGUGGCUGUGGUGUAGCCAAAAGCUACCUCUCCAAUUCGAGCCCUAGCCUGGGAACCUCUAUGUGCCAUGGCGCAGCCCUAAAAAGGCAAAAUCAAAUCAAAUCAAAUCUUCGUUUUCACCUAGAUGUUAUAGCGAUAAGCAGCUAGGCUUAGCAGUCCUGCCGCCAAGCAUUCGGAGCCUUUUCCGGAGGGAGACGGUCAAAAAGACUUUUGAAAUUCUGAUAAAGCUUCCUCUUCUGGGAUAAAAAUAAAUACCAGAUUUUGUCCA
rnacentral:lncRNA from 1 species